ACGUCAAACGGGGCCAUGGCAACCGCGAGGGAGCGAGCGCCUGCGCCCGCGCCUUCCCCUCCGCCCCACAGGGCGGGGGCCGCACCAACCGCCGCUGGCGUCGGCGCGCGCAGCACCGCGGGGGACACGCCUAGCUCCGGCCGCCACAGCCCCUGCCGCGGGCGCGCGCCUUUGCCUCCAACUGCAGCGUGCUCCAGACUGGCAAUGGGGAGCACAGGUCACUGGCUACAUGGAAGUGGGAGAUCACCCUGCAGCCCCUCUCUGCCGCACUUCUCUCCCCCCGCAGGACACGGACUCAGAGAUGUCCACAUUGAGGAUACUUCAGACAUUAUCUGAUAGAAGAGAUCAAUUUGUUUGAACAUAAGAACAGCCAUACUGCGUCAGACCAAAGGUCCAUCUAGCCCACUAUCCUGUCUUCUGACAGUGGCCAAUGCCAGGUGCUCCAAAGGGCAUGAAUAGAACAGGAGGAAACGUGUGGUUUUGUCACUGCUUUUGAAGAUGACAUACAAUGUCCUAUCACAUAUGAAGGUGUGAUGGCCAUCCUGGUAGCUGACACCAAGGUUUGACCCAGGGACCUUCCGAACUGAAAAUGAAGUUGUGGCAGCCUGCCAGCACAUCCUGCUGAGCCAUCAUUUUGGUCUGCAUACUCUCUGCAACCAGAGCCAGCAACAUGGAGGAGUCACCAUUUGAAGAACUUUUGCUUGGGCUUUUGCUCCCACUUCAGGAAAGCGGCAGAGCUUCCAUGAGGUGCUGGUGGACAUUUCAGUGGCCUUUUUUGACCCACUAAAGGCACCUGACAGAGCAGGCGGGUGACAAUACAGAGAUGGAAGACUCAAACUGGCAGCUGCUGCUUAUAACUCUUGGUAUAGCUGCUGAUGCCCCCUAUGUAGACUGGUGCAGGGCCACAAGUGCAGACUGGUGGUGUCACAUCAUCAUGCAGACCUGGGAUGAUCAGAAGUGGCUCCGGAACUUUUGCAUGAAGAAAGCUACAUGUUUUGGGGAGAGUCUUGUGAGCAACAUGCCCUGACCCUCUGGUGUCACGACACAUGUACAAGGACAGACAUAUUAGUCCAGAAGCAGGUUGCUAUAAUAGACUGCUACAGAUCUGUUAAUAACCAGUUUAGUGUUGGAAAGUCAACUGUGAGUAAAGUGGUGGUGAAAGUUUCUGAGGCAGUCAGAUGUAUGAUUUACCCAACGGUGGUGGGUGUAAACAAUAUUCCUGAGGUGAUUGGAAAGCUCAUUCUCUCAAAACCAGUGAACUGUGCUGGGGCUAUUGAUGGGAUUCAUGUCCACAGUUUGCCCUCCUCGGGGAGCAAAUGAGUACAUAAACCACAAAGAGCAGUACUCCAUUGUUUAUGCAGGCCCUUGUGGACCACAGAGGCCAAUUUAUGGACCUCAAGAUGUGCUGUAGUCGAAAGGUUCAUGAUGCAAGGGUUUUCCGUCAGUCAGGAGCCUACCUUUAUGGAUAGGCUGGGACACUAUUCCCUCCAAAUGACAUUGUCAUAAAUGGAGUAACUGUCCUCACUGUCGUUCUGGGGGACCCUACAUUCUUUAUCUUGGCUUAUGAAACCAUAUCCAGCUCUCAGAGGGCCCCGCAAAAUGUUUAUUUACAUUCUCAGCAGCUGUAGAAUGGUGGCUGAAUGUGCAUUUGGCAGACAGCGCCAGUGGGAUUUCACUCUAUAGAUGCAUUUGGAUUCCAGUGUCAUCAACGCUAUCUGCAUUAUUGCAAAGAGCACAGCAAGCCAUACUCUUUGUGAAGCCAAAGAUGAGCCAUUUGCCCUUGAAUGGACCUAUGGCAGUAAUGGAUUGCUGAACCAAUACGCUCAACCAGACAGUGCACCAAUCACAGCACAGGAUGUUCCUGGGCAACUGAAAUCAAGGCUGCUCUGUGCUGCUACAUUAUGGACUUACACAGGCCUAUGGAAAAAGGAGAAUAGCACAUUUCUGACUGUUUUUGUACAGCAGUGUGUACAGUGAAUGAGGUACUAUCACAUCACGGGGUGCAAUGGGAGUGGGUACUGUCAUACACAAUGAAAGUGUGUCAUUAAUUUUUAUUUUGGAUGACAUAACUGUUAAUGUAAUGGGGGGAUUAUGUAUUUACAUUAUUGAUGUACACAGAUAUACUGAAAUUAUUUAGAUAUAACUUGUCUAUUGUACCUUACCCUGUUUAUCUUUAUUAUUCAAAAUACACAUUAUACGAUGU